CAACCCUCCAAGCAGGGCCUCUGACAAAAUUAUGGCGGCGCGGAUAGUUUUAUAGGCCUAAGCGAGCCGUUUUAUGGCUUUGGGAGGAGAGAACAUGCCACUGUCGAAUAUUUACGAUGGGUUUGGUUGUUGUAAAAGCUCCAUCGCUGGCUUUUGCAGAGCCACAAGCCGGACAGUACACGAAGAGGCAAGACUUCGUUGGAAUUUCUAUUCUUCGAACAAAAUUUUCUAACGGAACUCCGUUCGAAGACGAAAACAGUUAGGCCUAACGUUUAGGAGAAUGAUAACAGCAAUGGCGGACGGAUUGUUGUGGUUUUCGUUGUUGCGUGAGCUGUAGACGCUAUUUAUCGAAGUAGUGACUGGGUUUGUUGCUGUUUUACAUCGAACUGUUAAAAUGUCGUUACGCAUAAAACGAAUAAGCAAAAACUAUAUCAAAGUCUGAGGAUUCACUAUUAAAAAGGGCCUAAUUUAAAGAUGAAAAACAGCUCCAUGUUGCUGAAGGAAAGUAAAAGGUGAUUUAUCAAAAACAUUUCUGAAUUUUUUGGGGACAAUCAAAGUGUUUUUGAUGUCUUUAAUCUCGCCUUUCUCAAAAGAUAACUGGUUGAAGAUAGUUGUAGAAAGAGCAGUACACAAAGAAGAAAUGUCACCUUUUUCCUGCAAAAUAGUAACUGUUCUUUUGUUUCGAACUGAAGUUUAUCGUUUUACCUUCAUGCAUUAUCUGUUCACCGAUUUGUCUUUGCCAGUAACAGAUAAGAAUCCAGACCGAUAACUCCUUUGGUACCAUUCAUCAUGUCCAUUAUUCAAAGCUGGUAACAGAUACUUCUGUGCUGCUAACAGAUACUUCUGUAGAAACAUUAUCACACCAAGAAAAAUGACUAUUUUCCACUAAAAUUUAGUAUGGGUAUAAAUAAAAUUUCUCAUUUUAAAAGAGUAAAUAUAUUCUAGAGUUUUAUGGGGAAUACGUUGAUUUCUUCGAUAAUCAAUUGCUUAUUUGUAAUGGUUUAAAACAAAGUGACAUCUCAUAACAUUUUGGUUACUGUCUAGCCAAACUAUGCUUUUUAAGAUUUUAUUUGCCUUGUAACAUGCUUACAAAAAAGUUUUUAUUCCUUAAAUAAAGUAAUAAAAUCUAAUAAAAGGUUUGAGUUGUCCAUUUUCGCCACCGAUAUCGAACGAUGACAAUAUUCAUAAAUUUAUUUAUACUUUGGAGACACUUUUAUAUUGAUGCCUAGCGUUCUUUUUCAAGCAUAGUUCAAACACUCACCCAUAUGAGCUUAGAUUAUUUUUUUGUGAGUCAAGGGCACUAGCAGGACUUUACUUAAAAGGGUGCAAGCAGGGAAAUAUAUUUAUUAAAAUAACUCAAAAACCGUUUGAAAAAUUUAUUAAAUUU